GGAUGAAUAUUGGUCAAUGGCCGGAAGGCUGAACCAGCCAAGCCGCGUGGAGGAUGAAGGCGCUAAGCGUCGUAAACUUCUUUUGUUGAGGGACAAAAUCCGUCACGAGUGACGGACUGAGGGUACUCAAAGAAAAAGCAUCGGCUAACUCCGUGCCAGCAGCCGCGGUAAUACGGAGGAUCCGAGCGUUAUCCGGAUUUAUUGGGUUUAAAGGGAGCGUAGAUGGAUGUUUAAGUCAGUUGUGAAAGUUUGCGGCUCAACCGUAAAAUUGCAGUUGAUACUGGAUAUCUUGAGUGCAGUUGAGGCAGGCGGAAUUCGUGGUGUAGCGGUGAAAUGCUUAGAUAUCACGAAGAACUCCGAUUGCGAAGGCAGCCUGCUAAGCUGCAACUGACAUUGAGGCUCGAAAGUGUGGGUAUCAAACAGGAUUAGAUACCC
rnacentral:rRNA from 1 species